rnacentral:rRNA from 1 species
UACGGGGGGUGCGAGCGUUGUCCGGAAUCACUGGGCGUAAAGGGCGCGUAGGUGGUCUGAUAAGGGUGUGGUGAAAGCCCCCGGCUCAACUGGGGAGGGUCGUGCGAUACGGUCGGACUUGAGGCCAGUAGGGGGAUGCGGAAUUCCGGGUGUAGUGGUGGAAUGCGUAGAGAUCCGGAAGAACACCAGUGGCGAAGGCGGCCCGCUGGGCAGUGGCUGACGCUGAAGCGCGACAGCGUGGGGAGCAAACAGG